rnacentral:lncRNA from 1 species
UAAGGGUUUAUUGGGCUUUCAAGCUCUUUGUUUACUCAAGUUGUCAUACAACUUGAGUUAAUGGGCUUGACAUUCAAAUCCCAUUGGGCCUUGCGGCCCAAAACUAACCCGAGGUCUUUAACGAACUUUAUUCAUUUGAUUAAUUAACAUAUUAAUUAAUCCUUGCCAUAAAUAAUUAAACCAUUUAAUUAUCCUUACUCAUCUUUGUUGUUUCUUCAAUCUUUACCUUACACGGUGUAUGAUCCAUUAGGUUCCUUUUAGCGAGGCAGUGGGUGAUUAGAACUCUUUCAAAUCGAUUGUGAAUUGAAACAUACUUCCAAUUCUCCCUUUAGUGUUUAUACACGUUUAGGGCUUCCACAAACCAUGAGUGACACCUAGCAGUAUGUCAUGGUUACCCAAGCUAAUCGGAAGAGGUGGAGAACCUAUUCAGUUUAGGAUUACAAUGCAAUACGGUCAUUCUCUAAUACAAUACUCUUGACCACAUUGUUUGGUUUGAUAGUUUAAUCAUGUCUACUAUCCAAUGUGAUUCAUUUACUUAUAUGAUUACCUUGAAUGUGAUUUGGAACGACUUCCUAAAUCUCAUUCAUACUCUGGCCAGAGAUUCUUAAUCAUAUCAUAGAGUAUUCUCCCUCAAACGGUUUGAAGGUUAGAGAUCUCUUGUUGCGCAUUCACUUGCCUCCAUGGCUAAGUGACUUAACCCCAAUGAUGCGAAAAUUAACUUAACCCUCUUUUGACAAUUGUAGAAUAAGUAUAAGUAGGGAUCGUUCUGGACCGGGGAUUAGGAGGGCUUGCUAAUAACCUCUAAACUGACUUAAAAAUAUAUAAACAAAGUUAAAAACACUAAACGAGACUCAAAGAAUUCAAAACAAACUCAAAGAACUCAAAACAAGCUAAAAGCACUCAAAUCUGCCUAAAAACACAAACUGGGCAGAUUUGGACUCUAAACACACUUUUGGACGAAUUUUGGUUUCAACUUGGUUCGAAAUACUUAAAAGCACAAACUAAAUCAGUUUCUAACUAAUAUGAGUCAACAAGGUAAAAGGGGUUUUGGUUUUGAUGAAUUUGAAAACAAAACAAGUAAAUUAAAGAACUAAUGAAAUCUGCACGAAUUUGAGUAAAUUGAAUGGAUGGAAGGCUAGCUAGGAGGUUCUUCUCUACACAUGACACACUUGCAAACAAAACGAUUUCUAGUUGCUUUUCAAUAAACUACGAAUUCUCAACACCUCAGAUUAACUGUGAAUUGCACUAAUUAACCCUCAGAUUUUCCUAAUUUCAUUGAAUUGGAUGAUUUUAUACAACAACCCAAAGCAUUCCCCACAAGUUCCCUACAUGAAUUGCAUAAUAGAUAUACAAGCAAGAAUCAUUAAGUUCUAUGAAAAUCAUAAGCAUUGACGAAACACUUGUAACUAUGAAUUCAUGAAACUUAUGCCAAGAAUUUACUUAACACGAUUGUGACGAGCAACCUUCACUACUUGUGAAUAUAAGUUCAUAACGAUUAGGUGAAACUCCCUUAUAUCCUAGCAUCAGAUUUAUGCAUGAAAAUUAAGCGUGCACUCUCAACCAACAUACACAAAUCAGUUUUAAUUCAAAUGGAUAAGUAAAUUGAAUUCCAACUUAUGAAUCACAACUAAAAGUAAUCAAAUUAUAUUGCAAGCAUGAACAUGGUUUCGAAUUCCCCCCUAGCUAAGGGGGGUUUAGUUCCUCAUACUCACAAAGCAAAGAUAAACAAAUUUAGACAUUGCAAAUAAAAGAAUGAAAACACCUAAAAAUGCUCCAACUUGAAUGGCAAACACGUCCAAGGGUCUUCAUUCUUCUCUUUGUUGCGGCACAAGUGUCUAGGAUGUGUAUGGAUAUAUGGAAAGGUUAGGAAUGUAUUUAGGAUUGGUGAAUGUCUCGGCCAAGGGAAGGAAAAUGCAUUUGUGUUUGUGAAAUGUGGGAUUUAUGGAUGUAUGGAUGGAAUGGAAUGGAGCUCUUUUGAUGGAUCAAGAUUGUUCUUAGGAAGGGGAAUGGUGGAUGUAUUUAUAGGCUAAGGAGAGGACCACUUCAAUUCCUUGCAUGUGCAGUUUGUAUGGGUGUGUGAUGUCCAUGUUUCCCUUUACAUUUGCACACACAUGACCUCCAUUAUUUCAGCCACAAAACAAACACAUUUUCUGCCAUGUUUCUCCUUUACAUUAACACACAUGUUCUUCAUCAUUUCAGUCACAAAUCAACCCAUUUUCUGCCCAUGUGUGUGUGUUUUCCCUUUGCAUUUGCACACACAUGUUCUUCAUUAUUUCAGCCAACAAUCCACCCAUUUUUCUGCCCAUGCCAAGCCCUCCAUGCUGUGCAGUUUGCAUGUGUGUAGCUGUCCAUGUUUCUCUUUUGCAUGUGCCAUGCCUUCUCUUUCUAGCUGUGCAUUUCCACUUGCUCCAAAGCCAAAUGAGUGCAAUCAUAACCCCAUUUGCUGCUGAGUGUUGAUGACAAAGAAAAACACCAAACAAGUGCCUUUACUUUCUCAUUUUAUUAGCCAAAUCUGCUUAGCCCUUUUCUGAACCUUUCAGUGUUACAAUGCCCAUAACUUCUUCUAGAAAAAUGAUAUUAACAAUCCGUGAAUUGCUCCAGAAAAUAGACAUCCGUAGCUUUCCAAAAAAAUAAGGCUCAUUUUCUCUUUCAUUCUGAGCUGUUUGUAACAUGCUUCCAAAGUUAGCUAAUCUGCACAGGCAGUUUUGACGAAUUUGUUACUUAAUAUCUCACUUGUGCUACUUUUCUUUUCUUUGCUUGAUAAAACACACAAAACACAAAAACAUAGUAAAUAGCUCAAAAAUAUAAGGAACUAACUAAGAAAAGACAAGUGAAUUUUAUGUAAAAUAUAUAUAAAUAUGAACUUAUCACCCAACUAUGCCGUGGACACCCUCUGACAGAGUGACUUUGACAUAGUCAAAGAUCAAGGACCUAACCACAAGACAACUAUGAUGCCUCAGGUCAAAGGACUACUUUGCAUUAUCCCAACCAUGAGUUCUCAUGUGACAUGAGUAUGAGAACUUCUCGUUGAUUGUGUUCAGUGUACUCAUUCUCUAUUGAGCACCUACAUGCUUGUCUUGGUGUCAAUCACACCAAUGACUCGAUACCAGUCACUCUCCCUGAGAGAAGACACAUCAGGUACUGAUCUUAACGGACUGUCAAUGCCCAAUUGGCAAUCCUAUGAUCAGGAACGUUAUGAUAUGUAUACGAAAGAGAAUGGUCUUAUGAAUCUAACUUCUUUAAAUUACAUUCUCCUAAUUACAUAUUUCUUGGACUUAUCGUUUAAGCAUAUAACAUUUAUAUGAGACGGCUUAAAACAAUAAUCUUUGCCCUUGAUAUUAAACUAGAUUAGUUUAACAUGUGAAAUGUCUUUAAAGUAUCAUCAUAUGAUUGGUUUUAGGGCACAUUUCCAACAAUCUCCCACUUGCACUAGAGCCAAUUAGCUUGGUCAUCAAUGAUGAUACCUCUUCUGUAGUCAUUUAAAAAAUGGCUGAGUAGUGGGCCUAGGCAAUGGAUAUCUAUAUGUUAUCCAUAGAAGCAAUCUUGAGAAUAACCACGUCACCAUUAUACAAGAUUCUCAAUCAUGUGGUUCAGUCUCUCAUUUGAGUUUGGAUCAUGAUGAGACCUUGAUUCCCUGGCUUGAGCUAUCGCCCCAUUAGUGUCGUAGUGUCGGUACACUAGAGACACUUUCUGGUUGGAACCGAAUAGAGAGUUCAUAAAUGAACUUUUCAUCCUAACAACAUUGUUGUAAACUUCUUUAUGGCAAUAUAUUUUGCAUGCAUAAUGGAACACACUAAAGUCAUUACUUUUAAUGUUUCCAUCCAAAUAUCUCUUUAGUCGUAAUAAAGAGAUAUCUAAUUAUCUCUUCAUUCAUAAUGAAGAAAGAUCCAAUGAUGGAUUAGAUUCAUAAUCUAAUACAUUUACGCUUCCAUUACGUUACUCUAAUUCUUCCUCAUUCUUGAGGAAUCCAUCCUUUAUUAUUUCUCAAAUACUUAAGGAUUUACUUGACAGUUGCCAUGGUUUUGAUCCUGGGCUUGCAUUGAUAUCGUCUUGUACCGAUCUUGGUACAACUCAUAUCAACGUUUUUCAUACAAUAUGAACUACGUAAAUCACCUUUCUGCGUAUGCAUAAAGGAUUCUAUUUACGCAUUAUCUUUGGGAGUCAAAGGGUACGUUCCCUUUGAGAAGAGCUACCUCCUAGUCUCACUAGAGUUGUUCUUCUGAUUGAAGUUUAUCAUCACAUGAGAAACUUCCUAGCAUCUUUUGUCUAUUAUUAGGGAUUGAUAUAAUCCAAUUAUAUCUUGAAAUCUAUCAUUGUAGAUUUCCAUCCCAUGUAUAUAGACUAUGUCUCCCAUAUCUAUUCUAUCUUUAUAGAAUGUUUAAAGUCAUAACUUUAACGAAGAAGUAUUCUUUUCAUUUCCAAAAUUAAUAUAUCAUAUAUGUGUAUAUAUAUAUAUAUUCAAAUUUAGGAACAUGGUUAACUCCCACUAAUCUUUUGUAAACCUAGUAAACAAAAGAUUCAUUUACAUCUUUAUGAGAAAUCAAACGAUUUGAUCUUUUCUCUCAUAAGACGCUUAUAGCUCCCACUAGCUUGCUAAGAUUCAUGAUGGAUGGAUCUCUACAACUUACAUGUCUUGUGAUUCAUAGUUUUAGACAUAUAUUAUCAAGACUAUCUUAAUAAUGGUUUCGGAAACCCAUAUUAUGUCCAAACAUUGAAUCACCAUUUAGUUGUAGCUAGCAAUCUUCGAAUUAAUUGAAACCAAGACUACUUUAAAGAUGGUUUCUUCAAAGUCAACCAAUCUCUUUGAUUGUAGUCACUUUAAGCUACCAAUUAGCUAUAAAGGUUUCAUUAUUUUGGGUCAAAUGGUACUUUACCAUUUCCUUGAGUAUAUGUCGUAUAUACACUUAAUGUAGUCAUAAGGAUUUUCAUUCUUAUUUCUUUCGAAUUAAGAGGUGUAACUCUAUGACAUAAUCAUAAAGUUCAAACCAUUCAACUGAGACAGUUUAUAAAUCCUUCUCGACUACCUUGGAGCUUGUGGUAUAGGAACUAGGUUGUUAUAUUUGUUGAUCACUAUCUUGUCUCUCAAAGAACCCAUUCCUGAGUUCUAUCCCUUGUUCAUUUGCUCUAUCUUAGGCAAAUCCUAGUGUAGGAUUACAAUGAACUACCCAACAAACAACAUUUGUUACAUUUGUUAGUUGGUUUAUAGAAGUGAUAUCUAAAUGUUAAUUUAAGGAUACCCACAAGAUAAUUCUUUAAACAAAUAUUGCUUAUUAGCACACAAUCCCAAAUCUUAACAUGAUUAAGAUUUGUCUUUCUUUCCAACUACAUCCUAUGGAGUCAUGAAAAUUUUGGAAGAUCUUCUAAUCUUAGAAGUGUAUAUCUUAUAUAUGGGUAAUUGAUAACAUCCAACGAACUAAAUCUUAUUUGAGUUUGUUCUUCUCUUAAUUGAGAAAUCCAUUAUCUUAUGAUGCUUCUUUCCUUGAUAUCUUUCAAGGAAACUGUUCUAAAAUGUUACCUUUCCCUGGACCAAAUCUAAGGAGGUAAAUACUUCAGACAUCUUACUCAUCAACUUACAUUUUUUGAAUUCUUUGAAACCUUUUGCAAAGUAUUCGGACUUGUGUUUAUUCAAAAUAAAUGAUAGUCCAACCGAGGGUGAUCUUCGGUGAAUGUCAUACAACAUGAGUAGUAUUAUGUUGUGGACAAGUGCCACUAACAUCUAAGUGAAUUAACCUCAACAACUUUGUGAUUCUUUCUUCCUUUCCAAAAGAAUAAAGAUUCAAACAUUUUGCCUCUAUACAAUUUUAACAAGAAGGCAUUGGAUCCGGAUCUAACGAUCCAAAGCAUCCAUCUAUGACCAACUCGUAAUUUAUGUUUUAGAGGUAUCACAACUUAGUUGGGAUUAGUCACUACCUUGCAACCUUUCGGGUUUUAAGCAUCGUUAUAUUCUAAACAGUUAACACUACCAUAUCAUCUCUACUAUAGAGAUAAUCAAUUAGAUUACAUUAAUCUAAUCAUUCAUUAAUAAAGAACAAUGUUUUGUCAAACAAAACAUUCAUCCAUAUCUCAUAGUGACGAAAUUAAGUUCCUUAAAAUUGGAAUGUAAAGACAAUCUUUGGUUUUUCCAAUUUCUUUGGUAGUUUAUAUGAGGAAGUAAGUACGAUCUGAUUUACAUAUAAUUCACAUUUCGAAUGUGAAGUACUUUCUCUUCUCUCAUUAAUCUUCUACUUCUUAUUAGCCACACUUUUACAACGAUUGUAAAACAUAGUUACUAAUACGGAAUCAAGCAUUCAAGUAGAAGAACCAACUGUUUUGAACUUUUCAAGAACAAUUUCAACACCUUCGAAAGGUGUGUUCUUGACACUUGCAAGACAUUUCUUGCAAAUACCCCUUCCAAUGUCCAUCAUUUCGUAAAGAAAGUUUGUUCCCUUGGAGUUAUUUUGCCUUCUCCAUUUGACUUCUCCUUUGACUACAAUAGUCAUGGUCCCUAAACUCCCACUAUCUCUCUUGAAACUUAUUUCAAUUGUGUUGUACACAUCAAACGAUUUGGAGAGUGUGUGGUUAUUGUUCACUAUAUAGUUUACAAUAAACUUAGUGAACCAUUGGGAUAGGGACACAAAGGUGAAGUCCUUGCCUAGUCUCCGGCUCUAGAAGUGGUUUAACACUUCAACACUCAAUGAUUCAAAAUCAUCAUAAGUCCAUGUUGAUGGACUAUUUUUGUCAACCAACCAUUAUGUUCUAAACAUAAUUACAAACUUUCAAGAGUUGUUCAAGGCAACUCUCAUUUCUUCAUACAACAAUUUGUAAGUGAAGAAUCAUGGCACAUAAAGUGUCCAUGCCCCUGUGCUUACUUCUCAAGUUCCUUGUUCAUGUAACAAAGAAACAAGCACUAAUGUUUGCGUUAGCUAAGGGUUGUUCAAAGAAACUCUUAUUUCUUCAUACAACAAUUUGUAAUUGAAGAAUUAUGACAUUAAAAGUGUUGUCCUCUUUAUGAUAUACUUAUCUAACAUGCUCUUCCAAUGAUACAUUAUCAAUAGGAAGAUUGUGAGGAUGAGACUACUUAGAUACAUAUACAAGCCAUUAUAGACAAUCUAUGGGAUUGUAGUACCAAGUCCGGAAACUAAAGCUUUCGGCUUUU